AAAGAGCUGACAGACUUCAGCUCUUGGGCAUAAAUUGCUUGCUCAGGUUGCAUAGAACAUUUCUGUUGGCAAAAAGUGUUACAAAAGGUGGGGUCAGAUCCUAGAAGGGGCCUGGAAACAGAUCUUGCUACCCAGUGUGGAAUUAUUGCUCAAGUGCUGCUGAUGGGUGAAGCAAGGCCAGCAUUAACAGCCUGCCUGCAUAGCAUGCGCAAGACCCAAGUAAAGAAAGGUAAAAAAAUAGCACAUACGGAAAGCAAAAUGUGAAUUUUCAGAUUAGAGGAGGAAAACAUGAGGAAAAGCAUAAACAAUGUGUUAGAAAAGCUGAAUCUCUGUUUGGGAUCUUACAAAGUUUGGAGUACAAGACUGUAGCAGGCCUAGGCCCUGCAAGGCGUCCUUGGAGGCCUGAGCUAGGAAAUGCCAAGUCAGCAUGACUGGACCCUGGCAGCCCCUUUCUUCUGCCUUUCAGACCCUGCUUAUCUCUCUGUAAGCCCAUGGGUCACUUUCCCCUGACCCUUACUAUUGGACAGUUUUCAAAACCCCUGUAGGGUAUAAAACCCCCUGAUUCUGCCUGGUUCGGCAGAAGAGCUGUCACUGGGAACUUUCGCGGAAGACCCGAAUAAAGAACCCUGCGGAACCUCAUACGGCGAUUCUCCUCUCUCUCCCUGCGUCUGCUGCUGUGGCACCUAGCAAGCUAAAGAGCUGGAAAUCACUGAGUUGAUAAUCACUAAGAGCUGAAAAUCACUAUAGCUUGCUUAGGUGGCCUGAGCUCCUGCUGAGUUAUCCUGGCUCCGGCACCCCACUGGGCUCAGCCAGGUAGGGAGCUGCCGUGAUACAAGACUGAAAAAUGAGGGAUUCAGGUUUUCCUAGAUCUCUUUGAAAAACCUAAUUGGACCCAGCCUAGGUUUGUGUCUAAACUGAACUUGGAAAGCCAAAACAGCCAAGGCAGCCAUAGGGGCUCCCUGUGUUGAGUAUGAGGGACACAGACAAAAGGAGGAUGUCACUGUUGUACAGGGCUGCAUCUACUGAGUCCCCAGAGAGGCUGUGCAGCUCAGCAUGGAGGAGCAGCCACAGGCUGGUGACGAGAAAACAAGCUCUUCACAUACAUCCUGGCAUCCCCACUGUCCCACAGUAGGUGGGAAUAGAUCAUCAUUCUGAGGACACUGCUCUGGGACACCCACACUGCGGUCAUCUCACUGUGAGGGGAUGUUGCUGGUAUCAAUUCACAAAUGCAGCUCCUUAUCUGGUACAACUAUAUUCUGGUUCUAAAAUUAGCUCCAGAGCAUAGCAAAGUAGCAAUGGUGUGGAUGUGAUCUGCCUGCUUUCAACCAUUGUGAGGCUGAAUACAGGCUAAAGGACUCAUGCCCAUGCAUUAUGACGCCAGUUAAAUCUACUAAACUGCCUUGAACAAACCAUCACUACACGGAUCUGAUGAAUUGGCUGCCUGUCAGUCAACAGAUCCUUGUGUUCUCCUGAUACACCCCGCAACUCACCAAAAACUUCAGUGGGUCCUUUCAGGAGAACCACCUCAAGACACAAUGCAUUGUACUCUGAGCCAUGAGGAAAGGCUGAGAGAAUUGGGAUUGUUCAGACUGAAGAAGAGAAAGCUUGGGGUGACCUCAUUGUGCCCUUCCAGUGCCUGAAGGGAACCCACAGGAAAGAUGGAGAGAUACUCUUGACAAGGGCCUGGCGUGACAGGGCAAGGAGCAAUGGCUUCACGCUGACAGAGAGGAGGUUUAGAUUGGAUAUCAAAAAGAAGUUGUUCCCUCUGAGGGAGGUGACGCCCUGGCACAGGUUGCCCAGAGAAGCUGUGUCUUCCCCUGGAUCCCUGGCAGUGUCCAAGGCCAGGCUGGAUGGGGCUCUGAGCAACUCUGAGCAAGAGGAAGGUGUCCCUGCUCUGGCAGGGGGGUUGGAACAAGAUGAUCUUUUAAGGUGAACAACCCAGGCCAUGACCAACCCAGGCAGGGUUGGUCUGACAGGGGGUUUGAACAAGAUGAUCUUUAAGUCCCCUUCCAACCCAGGCCAUUCUGAGAUUGUAUGAGUCUAUGAAGUAGAUUAUUUAAUCUAUAAAAAGUUCUGAUCAGCAGAAGCAUCUCUGAGUCUGCCCUCCCAAGGGGAUCUUCAUUAUGAUGGCCAGGCUGAAGGAUGCUGAAGAUUUGACCUGUACUGAUGGUUUGGAAGGUAUGUGCAGUGUAUCAGCUGCUACUACUGAACUUGGUUGGGUCAUAUGUGGGACCAGUAUGGGACCAUAGUGUGGGUCCAUCCUGACAACAUCCUGACACUUUCCCUUGGAACAGAUGACUCUGAGAAGCACUGUGCGAGCAGAAUGCAGUAGAACGAAGUUGUGGGGAUGAAUCCAGCUCUUCUGCUGCAGCUGUCGCACAAUGGCAGCCUCAUCAGCUGCAGGAAAUUCAGAGAGAAACCACGUGACUGUGCACUGGAUAUGCUGGCACUGAUGAGGAGGGGCAUGUCCUCUUCCACCUGGGACAGAAACAGCAUCAGAUGUUGAAGCAGGGAGUGACUGUCACAAUUAGGGGGAAAUGCUGGACAACACAGGUGCACAGGCAUCCAAAUGCAAUCCCACUGCUCCAGGGUAACGACUUGUCCUGUGGGAUGACACCGAAGGAGUGCACACUGGCGGCCUGCAGAGCCAUCUCUUACACUCACAUUGUUAUAAACUCAGAAAAGCAGCCCUAGCCUUUUGAGGAAUAACCACAAUGGGCACAAUGGGAGAAAAAAGCAAUCUUAUCUGCUCAUUCCCAUGAAACUAGUCAGAUGCAGACAUGGAACUCAGUGCUGUGCCCUCAGAUACUGCUUCACAUUGGGAACUGAAGGAUGUCAGCCACAAGCAGCUGUGACAGCUUUUUACGCAAGCCAAUUGGUAAAUUGAUGGCAUGUAGUGACAGAGAUCCAGUUCAGCCUCAAAAUAUCUUGAGUGGCGGCAAGAGGAGAGUGAGCCACAUGCUGCUGUCAGCUGUGCGACCACAGCUGGAGACCCCGGGUUUUGCCAAGCUGUCAGCCAUAUGGCAAGUGAGGCACAGAACCAUUCAUCUGCAUUCCCACAAUAAACAUCUCUGGAUAUCGCAAGCACGGGGCCAUGUCAGCACUCACCAGACUUCACUACACUUCGUUCUAGCAAAAGCCAAAUCUGCACACACAUUGUGCUUGCACCUGUAGUUGUUCAGAUCUGAUCCUGACCUUCCCUAUGAUAGAUAAGGAAACAUUGUUACUCCUAAUGGCAAUAACACUCCAGUCUCAGAUCUUCUUUUGGAGUACCACUGCAUCUAGAAAAAUUUCCAGCCUGUUCCCUCUCCUAUUAAAGCUAUUGACAAGAAUACACACAGGAGAAGACAGGUGAAACUAACAGGGUCCUUUCCCCUCUGAAGAAUAACUGGAGGAAGAGAUACUGUGGUGAUAAAACCCAUUAAUGAGAGAGAAAAGGCAAGGUGUGAGUGAUGUGGCUGUUGCCCUCGGCUCUGUCACUAAAGCCAAAACCUCACAGGAGCACAGAAGUCAGGGAGGCUUUGUUCCACAAGUGGUGCCAGAAGGGGACAACCUUGCUGCAAUAAGAAGGAAUAAGAAGGCAGAGGUGACAAUGGAUAAGAAGAGCAGCAUCCCUUGAGUGUAGGACUGAAAUUCAGCUGAGAACUGGAACUGGAUGUCAAGCCAUAAUCACUAGGAAGGCAGAAAAGUGACUGAGACAGAGCCCAGCUCUGAACCAGUGCAGACAUUCUGAUGUUGUUAGGUUUUUAUAAAUAUUGAUGAUGAUGAUUUCCUGAAGAUGGAGCAUGGCAGGAAACAACUGGUUGAGCAAAUGUUACUUCUAUGAAUGGUCUCACAGAUGUAAACCAAAUGAAUUUCUGAGCCGUCUCAUUCUUCAAGAGUUUGCAGACCCAAGAUCUUAACUGUUUAAUUCAAUUGUGAGACACUGCAUAUGAAGCUUGACCAUAUGUGCCUCUUUUUAAAACUGCACUCCACCUAUUAAGAAAAUACAUUUUUGUCUAUGCUGCAGCAUUUUCUGAACAUUUGAUUCACUACUGUGCCCCACUGAAAUCAGGCAAUCUACAGUGCACUCAGCAGGUGUGAAAUCUUAUCAGAAUUGUGUAGCAGCACUAAAGUGUCAUAAAACAUAUUAAAGCAUUUGGGGUUUUUCCCUGGCCUUCUACCUGUUGAAUAGAAAAAAACAUAGAUUUCUGUUAUUCAGACAGACCAGGGAGCUACAAGUAAAAUCUGGAUUACAAGUAGUAUCAACAGCAGCUAAAAAGGUCCUAACAAACCAGCAGAAAAUUUGUGGGAAUGUUUCUGAAUGGCUUGCACUAUGCUUACCUAGCUCUGCAUUAUUUUCUGACCAAUCUCAAGUGUUCAGGAUUUUUUUCUGUCUUAUUCUUAAGAAAUACACCUGGGAUGUAUUAGGAAAACAGUAAGAAGGAAAGUCAGAAUUGAUUCCUAAAUGUUGAUUAAGUAGUUAGAUGCAAACUACUUGUGAAUUAAACAUUUCUAGGUUAUUUCUGAGAGGGAGCUUUCAUGGUUAAAACACCCUCUGAAUCUUUCCAAGAGACAUCUCCAGCAUGACUCUGAUACAGUAAUUUGGAUUUGUUACAGCAAUUGACUGCAAAGAAAGAAAUGUCAAACCCUCACAUCAAUGUCCUUUCUCUGGCAAGCUCUCCCUCCUUUGAUCUGCAAUAACAGGGACAUUGUUUUGCUUUGCCACAGACGUUCCCCGAAGUUUUCUGAAGGCUUCAGAAGUUCGGUGGAAUUUGCAAGAUGUAUUUGGGCUUUUAUGUUUGCCUUUAAUUGCUGCGUCCCGGGGUGGAUCCUGCUGCUGCUGCAGCGAGGCCGCCGGAGCAGAGGGCACAAGACCCUGGCUGAUUGUCACAGCCUGCAGGAGUGGCACAGCACACAGCCUGCAGGAGGUUGCAUACUCAGAGCAAAGAUUCUGUUUCAAAAUGUUUGUCUAACUCCUAUGCCUGGCAGCUUAAAGAGCUGCUGCCCUUCUCCACGGUGAAUGGGCGCUUAUAUUUUUAUAUUAUGGGCUAACUCUGGAAAUAUACAGAAACAAAAAUUUAUUGGGCUGUUGGUAAUGGUUACACUGUGUCACAUUUUGGGUUAAAACCUUAGGUAUUUCUGUCAGCUCUCCUUCAACAACAAACAAAUUCAUCUGCUUGAUUUGGCUCUACCAUGGUUCAUUUCAGGAUGAGCAUUUGGUUGUAAGUUUCUUUAGGUGUGCAAACCUUCAAACACUACGGACAACUCCAAUAUUCAAGAGGCACCAGCCCACUAACUUCAACUGCUACAGUAGUGAGCCCAUUAAUCACACUUUUAUAGCAGUGAGAUAACCUUCUAUGCAUACAGCUCUGUUAAAAAUAUAUAUUUAAAAUUAGAAAAUUAAAAUAAACCAUGUGUGUUUUGCGA